UGUUCUGGGCUGCACGCGCGCUACACUGACACGAUCACAAGUAUUUCCUUGCCCGGUAGGUUUAGGGUAUCUUUUGAAAUCGUGUCGUGCUAGGGAUAGACGAUGCAAAUAAUUCGUCUUCAACGAGGAAUUCCUAGUAAAUGCAAGUCAUCAGCUUGCGUUGAUUACGUCCCUGCCCUUUGUACACACCGCCCGUCGCUCCUACCGAUUGAGUGAUCCGGUGAGCUGUCCGGACUGCGAUUAGUUCAGUUUCUGUUCUCUUCGCGGGAAGUUCUGCAAACCUUAUCACUUAGAGGAAGGAGAAGUCGUAACAAGGUUUCCGUAGGUGAACCUGCGGAAGGAUCAUUC
rnacentral:ncRNA from 1 species